rnacentral:rRNA from 1 species
CCUAGCCGUAAACAAAAACAGUGCAAACACAACACUGUUCGCCAGAGAACUACAAGAAUAAACUCGAAACUCCAAGGACUUGGCGGUGCUCCACAUCACCCUAGAGGAGCCUGUCCUGUAAUCGAUACCCCACGAUCAACCUCACCCUUUUUUGAAGCUCAGCCUAUAUACCGCCGUCGCCAGCCUACCUUAUGAAAGGAACAAAGUAGGCAAAACAGUUAUCAACUAAAACGUCAGGUCAAGGUGUAGCAUAUAAAACGGAAGAGAUGGGCUACACUCUCUAACCCAGAGAAAACGAACAGCACAAUGAAAUAGGUGCUUAAAGGUGGAUUUAGUAGUAAGAUGGGUAAGAGAGCCCGUCUUAAAUUAGCCCUGGAGCGCGCACACACCGCCCGUCA